AUGACAGUUUUACGUGUCAAAAAUUAGCCUUGGUCAUCAACAAAAAACAUCUAUAAAUACUACGGCUGCUGCAGUGACUUCUUCAUAAGCACAGAAAACAAUUAAGAUGCUAAGAAUACUGCUGGUGGUUGCCCUUGUCGUUUUUAUUCAGCACUGUGAAGGUCAAGUCGGCCGUGGGGGUCAAGGUGGGCGGGGCAGACAAGGUGGGCGUGGCGGCCCUGGGGGGCGGGGUGGUCGAGGUGGACAAGGUGGACGUGGCGGCCAUGGGGAUCAUGGUCGUGGACAUAUGGGCAGGCAACCUAUUGCCUUCACAGCAUGAAUGUCUGAAAAUGCCACCAAUAUUCAACCUGAUGACACAAUACCCUACUCGAUGAAUGUCGUCAACAGUGGAAAUGCUUUUCAAAAUAAUGUCUUCACUGCACCAAAGCCCGGGGUCUAUUUCUUCACGUGGAGUGUUACCUCGCUUCCAAACUUUCCUGUUGACACAGCAUUGGUGAAGAACAACGAUACAAUAGCCGUACUCUCUUGUCAUAACUUCUCUAACCCCGGGAAAAGAAACACGUGUUCUCAAUCGACGACUGUCCAACUAACGGCCGGUGAUCAAGUUUCGGUCAGAGCAACGGAAACCAUGGACAUUAUGAGCGCUUCUUUCUGGCCUUCGUUUUCUGGAUUUAAAUUGUAACAAUAAAAAUAAACUUUGCAAGGAAAAGUGAUAAAAAUGUAUUUGUCUGCCUUAAUGUUUAUGUCCCAAUUUUUUAUGUACAUUUAUAUUUUUAAAUAAAAGAAUUAGAAAAGAU